GAUGAACGCUGGCGGCGUGCUUAACACAUGCAAGUCGAACGGUGAACGAGGGAGCUUGCUCCCUCCGGAUCAGUGGCGAACGGGUGAGUAACACGUGAGCAAUCUGCCCUGGACUCUGGGAUAAGCGUUGGAAACGACGUCUAAUACCGGAUACGAGACGCGAAGGCAUCUUCCGCGUCUGGAAAGAACUUCGGUCCAGGAUGAGCUCGCGGCCUAUCAGGUAGUUGGUGAGGUAACGGCUCACCAAGCCUACGACGGGUAGCCGGCCUGAGAGGGUGACCGGCCACACUGGGACUGAGACACGGCCCAGACUCCUACGGGAGGCAGCAGUGGGGAAUAUUGCACAAUGGGCGCAAGCCUGAUGCAGCAACGCCGCGUGAGGGACGACGGCCUUCGGGUUGUAAACCUCUUUUAGCAGGGAAGAAGCGAAAGUGACGGUACCUGCAGAAAAAGCACCGGCUAACUACGUGCCAGCCGCCGCGGUAA
rnacentral:rRNA from 1 species